GAGGGCUUUACUGUCUCUUACUUCCAAUCCGUGAAAUUGACCUUCCCGUGAAGAGGCGGGAAUAUGACAAUAAGACGAGAAGACCCUAUGGAGCUUUAAUUAACCGACCCAAAGAGAUCUUGAUAAUCAACCGACAGGGAUAACAUACCUCUACCAUGGGCCGACAAUUUAGGUUGGGGUGACCUCGGAGAAUAAAACAACCUCCGAGUGAUUUAAAUCUAGACUAACUAGUCGAAAGUACUACAUCACUUAUUGAUCCAAAAACUUGAUCAACGGAACAAGUUACCCUAGGGAUAACAGCGCAAUCCUAUUUUAGAGUCCAUAUCGACAAUAGGAUUGCGC
rnacentral:rRNA from 1 species